rnacentral:rRNA from 1 species
AGGACGAACGCUGGCGGCGUGCUUAACACAUGCAAGUCGAGCGGUAAGGCCCUUCGGGGUACACGAGCGGCGAACGGGUGAGUAACACGUGAGCAAUCUGCCCAUCACAUCGGGAUAACUUCGGGAAACCGAAGCUAAUACCGAAUACGACCACCUCAGGCAUCUGAUGGUGGUGGAAAGUUCCGGCGGUGAUGGAUGAGCUCGCGGCCUAUCAGCUAGUUGGUGAGGUAACGGCCCACCAAGGCUUCGACGGGUAGCCGGCCUGAGAGGGUGACCGGCCACACUGGGACUGAGACACGGCCCAGACUCCUACGGGAGGCAGCAGUGGGGAAUAUUGGACAAUGGGCGAAAGCCUGAUCCAGCAACGCCGCGUGAGGGAUGACGGCCUUCGGGUUGUAAACCUCUUCAGCAGGGACGAAGCGCAAGUGACGGUACCUGCAGAGAAGCACCGGCCAACUACGUGCCAGCAGCCGC